UACGUAGGGACCAAGCGUUGUUCGGAUUUACUGGGCGUAAAGGGCGCGUAGGCGGCGUGACAAGUCACUUGUGAAAUCUCUGAGCUUAACUCAGAACGGCCAAGUGAAACUGUUGUGCUAGAGUGCAGAAGGGGCAAUCGGAAUUCUUGGUGUAGCGGUGAAAUGCGUAGAUAUCACGAGGAACACCUGAGGUGAAGACGGGUUGCUGGGCUGACACUGACGCUGAGGCGCGAAAGCCAGGGGAGCAAACGGG
rnacentral:rRNA from 1 species